GACGAACGCUGGCGGCGUGCUUAACACAUGCAAGUCGAACGGAAAGGCCCUGCUUUUGUGGGGUGCUCGAGUGGCGAACGGGUGAGUAACACGUGAGUAACCUGCCCUUGACUUUGGGAUAACUUCAGGAAACUGGGGCUAAUACCGGAUAGGAGCUCCUGCUGCAUGGUGGGGGUUGGAAAGUUUCGGCGGUUGGGGAUGGACUCGCGGCUUAUCAGCUUGUUGGUGGGGUAGUGGCUUACCAAGGCUUUGACGGGUAGCCGGCCUGAGAGGGUGACCGGCCACAUGGGGACUGAGAUACGGCGCAGACUCCUACGGGAGGCAGCAGGGGGGAAUAUUGCACAAUGGGCGGAAGCCUGAUGCAGCAACGCCGCGUGCGGGAUGACGGCCUUCGGGUUGUAAACCGCUUUCGCCUGUGACGAAGCGUGAGUGACGGUAAUGGGUAAAGAAGCACCGGCUAACUACGUG
rnacentral:rRNA from 1 species